AAAGCGACCGCGCACCCCGCGCCUCGGGAGCCUUCCGAGUGGCUGCGACGACCCCCAAACGGCACCACUGUGGGCAUUGGGACAGCUGGCACCGGGCAAGGGUCCCCUCGCCUCCACUCACUCACCACACGGAUCUGCAGUCUGUGAGCCGCCGAUAAGCCUAGGACACCUAAGGGGAAUUGGCCCCGGGCGGCUUUAAAAGAGCUGUAGGUUCAAUCUUUAACUCUUCGGGCUGCCAACUUCGGGACCUGCGGACGCCUCCCCAGUCCUUAGAAGAGUCCCGUCGCUUCAACCACGUCCCGAGGACCCCAAGAUUCCGAGGGCCUGCUGCUUGCUUUAGCUAGGUGCCAGAUUCAGGCCUCAAAGUUCUUGAGAAUUAGCCAGCGACCUGGAUAGGAGGCGGCGGCGACGUUCGCACACCAUUUAGCUCUUCCAUUGGGUUGGAGUCAUUCCCUACUCCCUAUCCCCGGCUUUCCCUUUUACAAGACUUGAGAUAUGAUCACAUAACGCUGAGUAUAUGCUUUUAAAGGCGUACGUUUCAGUGGGGUUUUGGUAUAACAAAGUUGUGCGACCAUAGUUAUUUAUCUAAUUCCAGAACAUUCGGGUCACUACUCCUUUCCCC
rnacentral:lncRNA from 1 species